rnacentral:rRNA from 1 species
UUAAGCGACUAAGCGUACACGGUGGAUGCCCUGGCAGUCAGAGGCGAUGAAGGACGUGCUAAUCUGCGAUAAGCGUCGGUAAGGUGAUAUGAACCGUUAUAACCGGCGAUUUCCGAAUGGGGAAACCCAGUGUGAUUCGUCACACUAUCAUUAACUGAAUCCAUAGGUUAAUGAGGCGAACCGGGGGAACUGAAACAUCUAAGUACCCCGAGGAAAAGAAAUCAACCGAGAUUCCCCCAGUAGCGGCGAGCGAACGGGGAGCAGCCCAGAGCCUGAAUCAGUGUGUGUGUUAGUGGAAGCGUCUGGAAAGGCGCGCGAUACAGGGUGACAGCCCCGUACACAAAAAUGCACAUGCUGUGAGCUCGAUGAGUAGGGCGGGACACGUGGUAUCCUGUCUGAAUAUGGGGGGACCAUCCUCCAAGGCUAAAUACUCCUGACUGACCGAUAGUGAACCAGUACCGUGAGGGAAAGGCGAAAAGAACCCCGGCGAGGGGAGUGAAAAAGAACCUGAAACCGUGUACGUACAAGCAGUGGGAGCACGCUUAGGCGUGUGACUGCGUACCUUUUGUAUAAUGGGUCAGCGACUUAUAUUCUGUAGCAAGGUUAACCGAAUAGGGGAGCCGAAGGGAAACCGAGUCUUAACUGGGCGUUAAGUUGCAGGGUAUAGACCCGAAACCCGGUGAUCUAGCCAUGGGCAGGUUGAAGGUUGGGUAACACUAACUGGAGGACCGAACCGACUAAUGUUGAAAAAUUAGCGGAUGACUUGUGGCUGGGGGUGAAAGGCCAAUCAAACCGGGAGAUAGCUGGUUCUCCCCGAAAGCUAUUUAGGUAGCGCCUCGUGAAUUCAUCUCCGGGGGUAGAGCACUGUUUCGGCAAGGGGGUCAUCCCGACUUACCAACCCGAUGCAAACUGCGAAUACCGGAGAAUGUUAUCACGGGAGACACACGGCGGGUGCUAACGUCCGUCGUGAAGAGGGAAACAACCCAGACCGCCAGCUAAGGUCCCAAAGUCAUGGUUAAGUGGGAAACGAUGUGGGAAGGCCCAGACAGCCAGGAUGUUGGCUUAGAAGCAGCCAUCAUUUAAAGAAAGCGUAAUAGCUCACUGGUCGAGUCGGCCUGCGCGGAAGAUGUAACGGGGCUAAACCAUGCACCGAAGCUGCGGCAGCGACGCUUAUGCGUUGUUGGGUAGGGGAGCGUUCUGUAAGCCUGUGAAGGUGUGCUGUGAGGUAUGCUGGAGGUAUCAGAAGUGCGAAUGCUGACAUAAGUAACGAUAAAGCGGGUGAAAAGCCCGCUCGCCGGAAGACCAAGGGUUCCUGUCCAACGUUAAUCGGGGCAGGGUGAGUCGACCCCUAAGGCGAGGCCGAAAGGCGUAGUCGAUGGGAAACAGGUUAAUAUUCCUGUACUUGGUGUUACUGCGAAGGGGGGACGGAGAAGGCUAUGUUGGCCGGGCGACGGUUGUCCCGGUUUAAGCGUGUAGGCUGGUUUUCCAGGCAAAUCCGGAAAAUCAAGGCUGAGGCGUGAUGACGAGGCACUACGGUGCUGAAGCAACAAAUGCCCUGCUUCCAGGAAAAGCCUCUAAGCAUCAGGUAACAUCAAAUCGUACCCCAAACCGACACAGGUGGUCAGGUAGAGAAUACCAAGGCGCUUGAGAGAACUCGGGUGAAGGAACUAGGCAAAAUGGUGCCGUAACUUCGGGAGAAGGCACGCUGAUAUGUAGGUGAAGUCCCUCGCGGAUGGAGCUGAAAUCAGUCGAAGAUACCAGCUGGCUGCAACUGUUUAUUAAAAACACAGCACUGUGCAAACACGAAAGUGGACGUAUACGGUGUGACGCCUGCCCGGUGCCGGAAGGUUAAUUGAUGGGGUUAGCGCAAGCGAAGCUCUUGAUCGAAGCCCCGGUAAACGGCGGCCGUAACUAUAACGGUCCUAAGGUAGCGAAAUUCCUUGUCGGGUAAGUUCCGACCUGCACGAAUGGCGUAAUGAUGGCCAGGCUGUCUCCACCCGAGACUCAGUGAAAUUGAACUCGCUGUGAAGAUGCAGUGUACCCGCGGCAAGACGGAAAGACCCCGUGAACCUUUACUAUAGCUUGACACUGAACAUUGGUCCUUGAUGUGUAGGAUAGGUGGGAGGCUUUGAAGCGUGGACGCCAGUCUGCAUGGAGCCAUCCUUGAAAUACCACCCUUUAAUGGCUGGUGUUCUAACGUGGGCCCCUAAUCCGGGUUGCGGACAGUGUCUGGUGGGUAGUUUGACUGGGGCGGUCUCCUCCUAAAGAGUAACGGAGGAGCACGAAGGUUGGCUAAUCCUGGUCGGACAUCAGGAGGUUAGUGCAAUGGCAUAAGCCAGCUUGACUGCGAGCGUGACGGCGCGAGCAGGUGCGAAAGCAGGUCAUAGUGAUCCGGUGGUUCUGAAUGGAAGGGCCAUCGCUCAACGGAUAAAAGGUACUCCGGGGAUAACAGGCUGAUACCGCCCAAGAGUUCAUAUCGACGGCGGUGUUUGGCACCUCGAUGUCGGCUCAUCACAUCCUGGGGCUGAAGUAGGUCCCAAGGGUAUGGCUGUUCGCCAUUUAAAGUGGUACGCGAGCUGGGUUUAGAACGUCGUGAGACAGUUCGGUCCCUAUCUGCCGUGGGCGCUGGAGAACUGAGGGGGGCUGCUCCUAGUACGAGAGGACCGGAGUGGACGCAUCACUGGUGUUCGGGUUGUCAUGCCAAUGGCACUGCCCGGUAGCUAAAUGCGGAAGAGAUAAGUGCUGAAAGCAUCUAAGCACGAAACUUGCCCCGAGAUGAGUUCUCCCUGACUCUUUAAGGGUCCUGAAGGAACGUUGAAGACGACGACGUUGAUAGGCCGGGUGUGUAAGCGCAGCGAUGCGUUGAGCUAACCGGUACUAAUGAACCGUGAGGCUUAACCUU